rnacentral:rRNA from 1 species
UACGUAGGGGGCAAGCGUUGUCCGGAUUUAUUGGGCGUAAAGAGCGUGUAGGCGGCCAGACAAGUCUGCUGUGAAAACUCGAGGCUCAACCUCGAGCUGUCGGUGGAAACUGUCUGGCUAGAGUCCGGAAGAGGAGAGUGGAAUUCCUGGUGUAGCGGUGAAAUGCAUAGAUAUCGUCAAGAACACCGAUAGCGAAGGCAGCUUACUGGGCUGUAACUGACGCUGAUGCACGAAAGUGUGGGGAUCAAACAGG